rnacentral:lncRNA from 1 species
AUGGAUUUAUUACCGAAUUAUGUAUAUUUGGACAUAAUGUCAUACGAUAUUUUAUCAUUGAACUAAUUUAAAUACAAUUACAUUGACCUUAAAUUAUGUCACUACAUCUGUUAAAUUUCUUCUGACAAAGUGGAAAAAUCCAUUAUUACUACAUCUAAUGUGGACGCCACAUGUGGGCCAUAUUAAACUCAAAAGCCACGGGUCAUUUAUUGGCCACGUCAUCGGAUAGCCAAACAAAAUUUUGUGAACACUAAGGGGCCUCGGUGAAGUUAAUAAUGUGAGGCUUUGAACCUACCUCGUCAACGAGGAAAGGCUUGCCAAAGGUGAUUCAUACCCCUAUCAAACCUCGAGUAGUUGAAACAAGGCGAAUCUUAUCCCGUCCUCUCUAGAUGCAAGUUGAAUGGCGAACCUAUUGGCCUUGUGAGAACUCUCAAUCUCAUGCAAAAGUAAAAGAGAGAGAAGAUGAAGAUGCGAUGUUGUCUAAAAUAACUGAAUAGCAAAUGCUGUCACAGCACAUGAGUUGAAACCACUAACAAAA